AGAUAUCUGGAGAACUGUAUACUAUAUACUACAUACUACAUACUAUAUACUAUAUACUACAUACUACAUACUAUAUACUACAUACUACAUACUACAUACCAUAUACUAUAUAGUACGUACUAUAUACUAUAUACUACGUACUAUAUACUGUAUACUAUAUAUUGUACAUAUUAUAUACUGUAUACUAUAUACUACAUACCAUAUACUAUAUACUACAUACCAUAUACUACAUACUACAUACUAUAUACUACAUACUACAUACUAUAUACUACAUACUACAUACUACAUACCAUAUACUAUAUACUACGUACUAUAUACUGUAUACUAUAUAUUGUACAUAUUAUAUACUGUAUACUAUAUACUACAUACCAUAUACUAUAUACUACAUACUAUAUACUAUAUACUACAUACUAUAUACUAUAUACUGCAUACUGCAUACUAUAUACUACAUACUACAUACUAUAUACUACAUACUACAUACUAUGUACAAUAUACUACGUACUACAUACUAUAUACUACAUACUGUGUACUACAUACAAUAUACUAUAUACUACAUACUGUAUACUACAUACCGUAUACUACAUACUACAUACUGUAUACUACAUACUAUAUACUACAUACUAUAUACUAUAUACUGCAUACUAUAUACUACAUACGUCAUACUAUAUAAGACAUACUGUAUACUACAUACCAUAUACUACAUACUAUAUACUACAUACUGUAUACUACAUACUGUAUACUAUAUAUUGUAUACUACAUACCAUAUACUACAUACUAUAUACUACAUACUAUAUACUACAUACUGUAUACUACAUACCAUAUACUACAUACUAUAUACUACAUACUGUAUACUACAUACCAUAUACUACAUACUAUAUACUACAUACUGUAUACUACAUACCAUAUACUAUAUACUACAUACUAUAUACUGUAUACUAUAUAUUGUACAUACUAUAUACUACAUACUAUAUACUAUAUACUGUAUACUAUAUACUACAUACUGAAUACUACAUACUAUAUACUACAUACCAUAUACUAUAUACUACAUACUACAUACCAUAUACUACAUACUAUAUACUACAUACCGUAUACUACAUACUAUAUACUGUAUAUUAUAUACUACAUAUUGUACAUACUAUAUACUGUAUACUAUAUACUACAUAUUGUACAUACUACAUACUAUAUACUGUAUACAACAUACUGUAUACUACAUAUUGUAUACUAGAGGAUUGCUAA
rnacentral:lncRNA from 15 species